CACCCUCGGGCCGGGUCGCUUACCUGUCGCGGAGCGGGUCCGGGUGACAGCGGGGAGAAGCGAGGAGACCGAAAGCAGCCACAGCAGGCGCCAGCAGCGCGCGUUCCUCCUGCAAGAAGUGGCGGGGGGCGAGAAGGGCUCCCUGUGGAUGCGGCCACACUGCGUGAUCCACUCAGCACAAGCAACCUGGAAGUGAUGUGCAAAUAACUCCCUGGGAAGCCAACUUUUCGCCAGUGGAAGCCACCAGGUCAAGAGGAGGGGUUGGCAUCUUCAGCCCAAGGAGGCGGCAGCAUGCUAGAGGUAACCCGCACCUGGGAGUCCAGGCCCUGAACCCAGAGACAGGGGAGACCUCCCUAAGAGCCCCUCAUCUGUGACCGUUUUGUGAAGGAGCAAGUAGCCUCUCCACCGCAGAAAUUCCUGGAAGUACUCAGGAGUCCAUGUCACAGCGAUGUGGGUGGGGAGUUGGACAUUCAGCAUCUUGGGAGUGCUAUGAAGUGUGAAUCUGGAGUCAAAGUCCUACCUGGGAACAAGACAAGGCCUGUGUGCAAAGAGAGACCCAGCAGUGUUUGCCCGCUGGGAUCUGAUGAGCAAGGGCUACAAUGGAAGAAGUAUGACAAAUAGUGCAGUGGUUCUCAAAGUAUGGUCCCUGUACCAGCAGCAUCCGCGUCACCGGGGAACUCGUCAGAAACACAAACUCUCCUGCCCACACAGCAGACCUACUAAAUCAGUAAUCGUCGGGUGGGGCCCAGCCAUCAGUAUUUUAACCAACCUUCCAGGAGAUUCUGGCCCACUAGAGCUGGGAACCACUGAUUAAGCACACAGAGGGAACAUGAGCAGAUUUUGUUUCAAAUGCCAGCUCUCCAGCUUACUUCUUGGAUACUGACAACAUCCAAGAUCCAUUCCUGAUUGAAAGUCUCAGCAAAUUAGGAAUCGAAGGGGAAUAGAAGGAGGCCUCUUCUAUUUGUCCAAGGGUACCCACAGAAGAACCCACUGGUAACAUCUUCCUUAACGCUCAAAACUGGCCCCUCCACCCAGGAUCAGGAACAAGGCUGUGACUGAUCUCUCCAUUCAAAGAUUAUUUCGGAAAUCUGGGAGCGUGAGCUGCUUAAAGAGAAAGACUGUGGGGAAUGGGGAGGGCAGCCUGUGAAUCUGUCCUCCGUGCCUUCCCCAGACAAAUGGCCCUCCUCGCCUGGCUGGCCCUGGGAAGGGCCUGGGCGACCACAGCUACAAGGACUCGGGCACCUGCAGGACCAUCGGUCAUGAGGCAACUGCUCUCACUUGGUUUCUGAAGGAGUCAAGGCCUCCUCAGCCACUUUGUCCAUUAGCAUAAUGUGUGUCUACAUGACAUAAAUCAAGAAUCUAGUGCACAUGAAUGUCCAGCUGAGCUGUGCAAACAGGCCUUAGAAGGCCCAGAUUUGGCCAUCAGUGGGGCGGGAGGUACCAGGAGAGUUCUGUGUAGCACAGAGUUCUCACAGUGUGGCCCCCCCAUCCAGCAGCAUCUGUCUCACCUGAGAAAGAAAUCAAAGCAUCACCUUGUUAGAAAUCAAAUUCUCAGGCCCCACCCCAAAGCUGUUGAGUCAGAAACUCUGGGGUGGGGCCCAGCAACCCGGGUUUUAUCCAGACCUUCAGGUGAUUCUGAUGCCCCUGGACAGUUAAAGCACUUAUCUGCUUGGCACUAAAUUACCAAAAUUUCAUAUCCUGCUUCUGCCAUUUGCUGCCUGUUACUUAAAAUCUCUGGGGCUCAGUGCCCCCAUCUGUACAGUGAGGAUGAUAAUAUCAUACCAGGUUCCUAGAGGCUCUUGUUCACGUUAAUGGAACAAUCUAUCUAAAUUACUUAGGGAGCACUUAAUAAUCGCUAGCUUAUAAAUUGAAUUUCCCUUGCCUUCCCUGUUUCUGAAAAUUCAUUGUCACAUGUAAUCUUCAUGUAACACUUCUUAAAAUCUCUCAAAGAAAUGCAUAUGAUGGCCUUACUCAUGUUUCUCAGAAGCAAAGCAAGUACUAUCAUCACCUUUGUCAUCCAUGUGUAGAAACGGAAGCCCGAGGGGCGCCUGGGUGGCUCAGUUGGUUGGGCGAUUGCCUUCGGCUCAGGUCAUGAUCCUGGAGUCCCAGGAUCGAGUCCCGCAUCGGGCUCCCUGCUCGGCGGGGAGUCUGCUUCUCCCUCUGACCCUCCCCCUCUCAUGCUCUCUCUCUCUCUCUCUCUCAUUCUCACUCUCAAAUAAAUAAAUAAAAUCUAAAAAAAAAAAAGAAAUGGAAGCCCGGAUGCUCAACUGUCUUUCCAAGGUCAUAGUAAUAAAGUCAUGGAUCUGAGACGUAAGCCACUUCUGACUGGAACAUCUGUGUCUUUUGUCACAUCAUGAGUUCUCAGAGUGCAGGCCCGAAAUCUCAGGCAACACAGGUUUA